UACAGAGGGGGCAAGCGUUGUUCGGAAUUACUGGGCGUAAAGCGCACGUAGGCGGCUUUGUAAGUUAGAGGUGAAAGCCCGGGGCUCAACUCCGGAACUGCCUUUAAGACUGCAUCGCUUGAAUCCAGGAGAGGUGAGUGGAAUUCCGAGUGUAGAGGUGAAAUUCGUAGAUAUUCGGAAGAACACCAGUGGCGAAGGCGGCUCACUGGAC
rnacentral:rRNA from 1 species